rnacentral:rRNA from 1 species
GAUGAACGCUAGCGGCAGGCUUAACACAUGCAAGUCGAGGGGCAGCACGUCUUCGGAUGGUGGCGACCGGCGCACGGGUGCGUAACGCGUAUAGAACCUACCUUUUACAGGGGAAUAGCCCAGAGAAAUUUGGAUUAAUGCCCCAUAGUAUUAUUGAAUGGCAUCAUUUAAUAAUUAAACAUUUAUGGGUAAAAGAUGGCUAUGCGUUCUAUUAGCUAGUAGGUAAGGUAACGGCUUACCUAGGCAACGAUAGAUAGGGGUCCUGAGAGGGAGAUCCCCCACACUGGUACUGAGACACGGACCAGACUCCUACGGGAGGCAGCAGUGAGGAAUAUUGGACAAUGGGCGAGAGCCUGAUCCAGCCAUGCCGCGUGCAGGAAGACGGUCCUAUGGAUUGUAAACUGCUUUUUAUACAGGAAGAAACACUCGGACGUGUCCGAGCUUGACGGUACUGUAUGAAUAAGCACCGGCUAACUCCGUGCCAGCAGCCGCGGUAA